AGAUUUUUAGUUUGUAGACCCGAAACUAAGGGAGCUACUCCAAGACAGCCUAAUAAUAGGGCACACCCGUCUCUGUUGCAAAAGAGUGGGACGAGCUUUGAGUAGAGGUGAUAAACCUACCGAACUUAGUUAUAGCUGGUUGCCCAAGAAAUGAAUAGUAGUUCAGCCUCCCGGAUUCUCCCUUCACCUCAGUGAAUACACACCCCUGAUGUCUCAAGAAGCCGUGAGAGUUAUUCAAAGGGGGUACAGCCCCUUUGAAACAAGACACAACUUUCCCAGGUGGGUAAAGAUCAUAAUAGCACAAGGUAAGUAACUCUCGUGGGCCCGAAAGCAGCCACCCCCUGAAGAAAGCGUCUAAGCUCGGAACAAUCUUACUCCUCCCCCAAUCCUGAUCAUUUAAUCUUAUCCCCCUAAAACUUAUUGGGCCCGUCCCAUGCCUCCAUGGGAGCGACCAUGCUAAUAUGAGUAAUAAGAAAGCCAAGGCUUUCUUCCCGCCGCGUGUAAAUCGGAAUGGCCCCCCCCGAAUUUAACGGCCCAAACACAGAGGGCAGUGGCCGAUAACCAAACCACAGGAAAAUCCCCAACCCCUAACCGGUAACCCAACACAGGGGUGCCCCUAGGGGAAAAACUAAAAGGGGGAGAAGGAACUUCGGGAAACACAUAAAGCCUCGCUGGUUUACCAAAAAACAUUGGCUUUUUGCAAAUAAUGAAAUAAAAAGGGCCCCCUGCCCUUGUGACUAUUAAGUUUAACGGCCGCGGUAUUUUGACCGCGCGAAGGUAGCGCAAUCACUUGUCUCUUAAAUGGAGACCUGUAUGAAUGGCACAACGAGGGCUUAGCUGUCUCCUCCCCUAAGUUAAUGAAAUUGAUCUCCCCGUGCAGAAGCGGGGAUAAACACAUAAGACGAGAAGACCCUAUGAAGCUUUAGACGUAAGGUAGCCCAAACUACAAUGCCCCCCGAUAAGGAGACAAACCAAAAGGGUCCCUACCCCGAUGUCUUUGGUUGGGGCGACCGCGGGGAAAGAAAAAACCCCCACGUGGAACGGGAGUACAACUCCUUAAACUCAGAGCCACAGCUCUAAGAAACAAAAUUUUUGACCUAAAGAUCCGGCAAUGCCGAUCAACGGACCGAGUUACUCUAGGGAUAACAGCGCAAUCCCCUUUUAGAGACCAUAUCAACAAGGGGGUUUACGACCUCGAUGUUGGAUCAGGA
rnacentral:rRNA from 1 species